GAUGAGCCCCAGCUGUGUCACCUGCCUGAUGGGCAUUUUAAAGUCUGGCAUGUGGUUCAGCCUCUCACUCGCUGACUUGGAACAAUGGGAGCUGUUUGGAAGUUCAGUGUUUUCGUGCUGACUGUGUGGCUUGCAAAAGGUUCUGUGUGGUCUGUUAAUGGAGCAACUGAAGGACAGGAUGAGGGCACGCAGAAGGGACAGAUAGUGAAAAUGGAAAACAAUGAACUAGAAGCUGGGACCUCCAUGAAGUCUGUGAAGCACCAGACAAAGACACAAGACUAUGACCUUUCCAAUGAUGCUGUCUCUGGCAACCAGACAUCAGGGGCACCAGGAGUCGAUGACUCUGAUCACGCAGACAACCAGACGUUGGUGCCCCCUGUGAGUGACGUGGGCGAUCAGGCUCCCGAGACGACGACGACGCCGGAGGCUCCCGAGACGACGCCGGAGGCUCCCACCACCACCAAGGCCCCGACGACGAGUCACCACCAAGGCCCCGACGACGACGACGACCACCAAGGCCCCGACGACGACGACGACCACCAAGGCCCUGACGACCAAAGCGGUCUAAGAUAGAAAUGGAAGAGUCAACUGCUGCUAAAUAAAAGUCUUGAAC
rnacentral:lncRNA from 1 species